AAAAUGGAUAUGUUUUUUGAUAACUCAGUGCAGAUUGGAUGCGAUGUCCAAGCUGAGACGCGACCGAAAGACGCUCGGAGGACACGAACGACGGAUACGUUGGGAUACCUGACCGCACUAUAUCGGGUGACCGUUAUAGCGAACCUCUGUCGAGGGAAAGUAAAGGCGCGGUGCUGAUGUUAUCGCAAGCAAAGGCAUCCGUGGAGUCGCGGGGGCAAUAGACAGCCUUGUGAAUAGCGAGGCCGAAUCCAAGUUAGGGGAGACGAGUGGUGUCGCACCCAAACCUUGGAAAUACCACCAACCCCGUUUGCGGUGAUGUCAUGGAAACAUGGCUAUAAGACUCUACAGAAUCCGAGUAGCGGAAUCGCAUUGACUUGAUAUGAUGAAGAGAUGGGCUGAAUAGUGUCAAUUUGGUCAAAACUUUCUGAAUAUCCCGUGAAAGGUAGAGGUAACCAUCCCUUUGGCGGCAUUGUGCGAAUGUGUGCUGUUCUGAUAUGGGAUAGCGCAAUAAGCUUGGGCAAGAAGUGUAUGGAGGACGCUCUGUAUGCUCAGACUUGUCUACCGCAUGGCUGAAUAUGCUUGAAGAUAACUUGAGGUAAGGUGAAGACCUAUCAAACAAACGUAUUCAUU
rnacentral:sRNA from 12 species